rnacentral:rRNA from 1 species
GGGUCAGUAGGUUGGUCGUGCCACCGGUACGUACUGGUCUCACUGACUCCUCCUUCCUGAAGAGCCGUAAUGCCAUUAAUUUGGUGUUGCGGGGAAACAGGACUGUUACUUUGAAAAAAUUAGAGUGUUUAAAGCAAGCUAACGCUUGAAUACAUUAGCAUGGAAUAAUGAAAUAGGACGAUCGAUCCUAUUUUGUUGGUUUCUAGGAUUGACGUA